rnacentral:lncRNA from 1 species
ACUGCCUGUUGAAGCUCACGGCUGAAGAAUGUUCAAAGGGAAAAGAAAAUAUCUGGAAAGUAUUUUUUUACUAUCAAACAGACCUGGAAAUUGUAUCAACUGAGGGGAUAUACCAGUCGUUCCUGCAGAUUAAUUUUCAUGGGGGUCAGCAAAUAUGUAAGACAGGUACACUUACCUCUGACUGAUGACACUUCCCAAAGACUCGCUCUCCAGCCCUGGGAACCUGCUUCACCAGCCCUGGGAGUAUGGCCAUGGUGUGGGAGUGCUUUUCCCACUGGCUACGUGCUCAGCUGAGGUGCAAGUCACACAUAGUUCCUGUCCCUGAGGAAGCCAUGGAGAUAAG